UGCCGGCUUAGCUCAGCUGGUAGAGCAUCGGUAUCGUAAACCGAGGGUCGGGGAUUCGAAUUCCUCAGCCGGCAUCC
rnacentral:tRNA from 2 species